rnacentral:rRNA from 1 species
UACGUAGGAGGCGAGCGUUGUCCGGAGUUACUGGGCGUAAAGGGUGCGCAGGCGGCGUCACGCGUGGCUAGAUGAAAUCUCCUGGCUUACCUGGGAGGGUGGUAGCCAGACGGUGGCGCUUGAGGGUCGGAGAGGGGCGUGGAAUUCCGGGUGGAGCGGUGAAAUGCGUAGAGAUCCGGAGGAACACCGAAGGCGAAGGCAGUGUCCUGGCGCGUAACUGACGCUGAGGUGCGAAAGCCAGGGGAGCGAACGGG